GCUUAUUUAGUCCUAUUAUAAUCGUGUCACUGGUUUCUGUUGUGGGUCUUGGGCUCUUUGCAAGGGGAUUCCCACUUCUUGCUAGCUGUGUAGAAAUUGGCCUGCCUAUGCUAAUAUUCCUGGUUAUCUCCCAACAGUAUUUGAAGCGCAUCCAUUCCACGGCUCAUCAAAUUCUUGAAAGGUUUGUUUUGCUUUUAUCUUAUCCAGCAAUAAAAGG